rnacentral:rRNA from 1 species
ACCAACUUUCGUGACUUGACGGGCGGUGUGUACAAGGCCCGGGAACGUAUUCACCGCAGCGUUGCUGAUCUGCGAUUACUAGCGACUCCAACUUCAUGAGGUCGAGUUGCAGACCUCAAUCCGAACUGAGACCGGCUUUUUGGGAUUAGCUCCACCUCACAGUAUCGCAACCCUUUGUACCGGCCAUUGUAGCAUGCGUGAAGCCCAAGACAUAAGGGGCAUGAUGAUUUGACGUCGUCCCCACCUUCCUCCGAGUUGACCCCGGCAGUCUCCUAUGAGUCCCCGGCAUAACCCGCUGGCAACAUAGAACGAGGGUUGCGCUCGUUGCGGGACUUAACCCAACAUCUCACGACACGAGCUGACGACAACCAUGCACCACCUGUAAACCGGCCACAAGUGGGGGACCUGUUUCCAGGUCUUACCGGUUCAUGUCAAGCCUUGGUAAGGUUCUUCGCGUUGCAUCGAAUUAAUCCGCAUGCUCCGCCGCUUGUGCGGGCCCCCGUCAAUUCCUUUGAGUUUUAGCCUUGCGGCCGUACUCCCCAGGCGGGGCACUUAAUGCGUUAGCUACGGCGCGGAAAACGUGGAAUGUCCCCCACACCUAGUGCCCAACGUUUACGGCAUGGACUACCAGGGUAUCUAAUCCUGUUCGCUCCCCAUGCUUUCGCUCCUCAGCGUCAGUUACAGCCCAGAGACCUGCCUUCGCCAUCGGUGUUCCUCCUGAUAUCUGCGCAUUUCACCGCUACACCAGGAAUUCCAGUCUCCCCUACUGCACUCUAGUCUGCCCGUACCCACUGCAGACCCGGGGUUGAGCCCCGGGCUUUCACAGCAGACGCGACAAACCGCCUACGAGCUCUUUACGCCCAAUAAUUCCGGAUAACGCUUGCGCCCUACGUAUUACCGCGGCUGCUGGCACGUAGUUAGCCGGCGCUUCUUCUGCAGGUACCGUCACUUUCGCUUCUUCCCUGCUGAAAGAGGUUUACAACCCGAAGGCCGUCAUCCCUCACGCGGCGUCGCUGCAUCAGGCUUUCGCCCAUUGUGCAAUAUUCCCCACUGCUGCCUCCC